AACGUUAGAGGGUAGGAAAAAUGAGAGGUUAUGACUUUAUGAGGGUCAUAGAACUAGUAGUUACUUUACCCUAGAGCUAGACAUUGUCUUUUUCCUGGGUAGAGAACCUGCUCUUCCUGCCUUCUGGGACAUGCAAUCGAACUGUAUCUCACAAUUCCCCUUGCAUCUAGGCGAACAAGUUGGCUGAACUAGAAUUUGACUAUAAAUGAUGUGCAUCACUUCUAGACUUGUCUAGUUAUUAAAAUAUCUUGUGUGAUCCUCUGUGCUUUUCCUGGAGUCCCAGCCACGUGGAAGAAGCCAAGCGAAGGGCUGUGGGGACCUAGAAGAUGGAGUCAUCAAACAAUGGAAGAAUCCCAGAUCUUCAAGUCACUGUUUGGACAAGAACCUACCAUGACAUGUGCCUGAACUUCGUGCAGUAACAGACUUCUCCCCUCACUACAACCUCGGCCCCCAGCAGAGCAGCUCUCCCACCUUCUGA
rnacentral:lncRNA from 1 species